rnacentral:lncRNA from 1 species
GUAGACACGGUGCUCACAACUAGGAAGACCUUCCUGCCCCAGAGCUGCCUCUGUCUUUCCAGAAAAACAGGAGAUCUUUUCCUAUUAAGGCAAAGAGACAGGGUCUUGCUAUCUUGUCCAGGCUGGUCUCAAAAUCCUGGGCUCAAGCAAUGCUCCUCCUUUGACCUCUCAAAAUGCUGGAAUUACAGAGACUACACUGAGGAGUAUGACAAGUUUUCAGCUUGAGAAGGGCUUGCAUUCUGUAGGAGAAAUGAACAAACAGCAUUAAUGUUGAUGAUGCAACAUGGAACAAGUGCUAUGACAGAGAUUAAAAAACAAGUGCUUGUUCAUUUACUGGAAAGACAGAAGACCGAUUCAGCCUGGAAAGAAAAAUCCCUGAGAAGAUGGUAUGGACUAAACAAAUAAAUGGGAUUUUAACAAAUAAAGAAUAAAAAUUAUUUUAUUUUAUAAAGGGAGGCACAAUAAUCUAAUCUGAAUAUGAUUUGGAUGUGAGUAAGGGUUGCAGGAGGUGAGUAAGGGUUGCAGGAGAUGAGGGAGGGAGUAUGUAGAUAUCUGGGGUAAAAGCAUUUCUGGCUGAGAAGACAGCAAGUGCAAAUGCCCUGAGACAGGAUCAGGGCUUUUGAGGAAUCACAAAAAAACCCAAUGAUCUUGGAAUAGAAUGUGCAAGCCAAAGUGGGUCCAAGACCAGAUCAGAGUGAUGGGAAGCGGAGGGGGGCAGAAUAUGUAGAGCCUGGGAUGUCAUUGUAAGAACCUGGGCUUUUACUCUGAGUAAAAUAUGAAGUCAUUAGAACUUUUGGAACUAAAAAGGGGCAGAACUGUCUCUCUCACUGCUGUGUUGAGAAUAGAAUGAAAGGAUCAAGGACAUAAGUCGGAAGACCAGUCAGGAGACUAUGGCGGUAUUCCAGGUAAAACAUGAUGUGUCUCAGACAAGGGUGGUGGCAAAACUAGUGGGAUUCUUAAAUUUUGGAUGUGGGAUCAAUAAAAAUGUGUUGAUGGAUUGGAAGCAUAAGAGAAAGGGCACCCAGGAAUGACCUUAAGUUCUUGGCCUGAGCAACGGGGGAAAGGAGGUUGCCAAUAAUAACUGAGAACCUGAAGCUUGGAGGAGGAGUGAUACAGGGGACGAGCAGGAGCUCAGCUAUAGACACGCUAAAUUUGAGAUACGUUUUAGUCAUUGUUUGGUGAUAUCAGGUUGGCAAUUGGAUGUACUGGUCUAGAGUCCAGGGUGGGGUCUGGGCUGAAAAUGCAUACUUGGACAUCAUCAAUUUUUGACAAGAUGGCUUUAGAGCAUCAUAAUACACAUUUAGUUGAUUGUAGAAGGAAUAUAGAAUUGUGAUGCCAAAGUUUGUGGCUUGCUCCACCAUGAUGAAUUGCUUUCUAAAUGAUUUUAAUGUUCUCUGUGUUAUAAUGAUGUGGAAUGUUUAUUGGAAUUGCACAUUUGACCGUUAACUUACUUAAAGUGGUAAAACAUUUUUACUCUAAAAAUAAAAAAUUAAAACAAUCACACAUAGCCUACUGCCUAAGUGAUAAUCAUUGCUAAAAGUCUGCUAUAUUUCUUUCCCAUCUUUUUUCUUUGAGUGUUUCUAAAUGUGAAUUUUCUAAAAAGUCUAACAAAAUAAGUUGUUGAUAAGACAAAGCUGAGUUUUCUUUUUUUCAUCAACUUUUAUUUUAAGUUGCGGGGUACAUGUGCAGGAUGUGCAGGUUUCUUACAUAGGUAAACUUGUGCCAUAGUGAUUUGCUGCACAGAUCAACCCAUCACCUAAGUAUCAAGCCCAAUAGGCAUUACCUAUCCUUCCUGAUGCUCUUCCCCUACCCUGACAGGCCCUAGUGUAUGUUGUUCCCUGCAGUGUGUCCACAUGUUCUCAUCUUUCAGCUCCCACUUAUAUGUGAGAACAUGUGGUGUUUGGUUCUCUAUUCCUGCAUUGGUUUGCUGAGGAUAAUGUCUUCCAGCACCACCCUUGCCCUUGCAAAGGACAUGAUCUCAUUCUUUUUUAUGGCUGCAUAGUAUUCCAUGGUGUACAUGUACUACAUUUUCUUUAUCCAGUCUAUCAUUGCUGGGCAUUUGGGUUAAUUCCAUGUCUUUGCUAUUGUGAAUAGUGCUGCAAUGAGCAUACCUAUGCAUGUAUCUUUAUAAUAGAAUGAUUUACAUUCCUUUGGGUAUAUACCCAGUAAUGGGAUUAUUGUGUCAAAUGGUAUUUCUGCUUCUAGAUCUUUGAGGAAUCACCAGACUGUCUUCCACAAUGGUUGAACUAAUUUACAUUCCCACCAACAGUGUAAAAGCAUUCUUAUUUCACUGCAACCUCACCAGUAUCUGUUAUUUCUUGACUUUUUAAUAAUUGCCAUUAUUGCUGACAUGAGAUGGUAUCUCAUUGUGGUUUUGAUUUGCAUUUCUCUAAUGAUCAGUGAUGUUGAGCUUUUUUCACGUUUGUUGGCCACAUGAAUAUACAAAGCUGAGUUUUUUGCUGGCAAGAGAGAUC